UUUUUUCGCCUCUUCUUUCUUUUCACAGUUACAUUCCCUUCAGCAAGAUUUUGUGUAGGUCCUGAAUCCACUUUUGCCUGGUCUAUGAUCUGAAAUUCAUCUUGAUCUUUUGGAUUCUCGAUAGUCGCACUCCCUUCAGCAACAUUAUCUGUUGACCCUGUAUCCAUUUGAGUUGAGCACACAUUUGGCACUUCAUCUCUAGUCUCUGGUACCUUCUUGGUUUUUUUCGCCUCUUUUUUCUUUUCACAGUCACAUUCCCAUCAGAAAGAUUUUGUGUAGGUCCUGUAUCCACUUUUGCCUGGUCUAGAUCUGAAAUUCAUCCUGAUCUUUUGGAUUCUCAAUAGUCACAUUCCCUUCAGCAACAUUAUCUGUAGACCCUGUAUCAAUUUGAGUCAAGCCCAUGUCGUGCACUUUAUCUCUAGUCUCUGGAAUCCUGACAUUUACAUUUACUUCAGCAAGAUUUGCUGUUGCUCCUGCAUCCUUUCUGCCGGAGAAUUCACCUGAACUUUGCCUUCUUGGUCUUUUCGCCUUUUUCUUUNAUCCUUUCUGCCGGAGAAUUCACCCUGAACUUUUGCCUUCUUGGUCUUUUUUCGCCUUUUUUUUCUUUUCACGGUCACAUUCCCAUCAGCAAGAGGUUGUGUAGGUCCUGUAUCCACUUUUGCCUGGUCUAUGAUCCGAAUUCAUCUUGAUCUUUUGGAUUCUCGAUAGUCGACUUCCCUUCAGCAACAUUAUCUGUUGACCCUGUAUCCAUUUGAGCCAGGCCCAUGUUUGGCACUUCAUCUCUAGUCUCUAGAACCUUGGUAUUUACUAUUUACUUUAGCAAGCUUUUCUGUUGGCCCUGCAUCCAUUCUGCUGGAGAAUUCAACGUCAACUGCUGCCUUCUUGGGUUUUUCCCCUUCUUUUUUCUUUUCACAGUCACAUUCCCUUCAUCAAGACUUUGUGUGGUUGCUGUAUCCAUUUCCAUCUGGUCUAUGCUCUCAAAUUCAUCUUGAUCUUUUGGAUUCUCAAUAAUCACAUUCCCUUCAGAAACAUUUUCUGUUGACCCUACAUCCAUUUGAGUCAAGCCCACGCUUCGCUCUGCAUCUUUAAUCUCUGGCUUAUUGAGAGUUGCAACUCGUUCAGCUAAAUUUUCUGGUCUUGUAUCCAUUUCACUAUGGAAUUCAUCAAUAACUAUUGCCUUCUUCUUGUUUUUCCUCUUCUUUAUUCUUUUUCGAGCUACAUCUCCUUGAGCAAGAUUUUCUGCCGGCUGCCAUUUGUCCAUACUUUGAGCUUCAUCUAGAGUUUUUGGAUUCUUAGUAGUAACCUUUCCAUCAACAAGAUUUUCUGUUGACCCUGUAUGCAUUUGAAUCUGACCCAAGGUCUGGAGUUCAUCUUUAACAUUUGGCUUCUCGUUGGUCACAUUUGCCUUCUUCUUUGUUUUUCUCUGCGUGAUGACACUUUGUGCUUGCGCAUUGUCCAAGUCAGUGUGGCACAUGCUUUGAGUUUCAUCUUGAAGUUUCAGAUUCCCAAUAUCCAUUUCAGUCGGGCCAGUUUUUUGGACUUUGUCUUUGAUCUUUGACUUCUUGGUGGUCAGAUUUUCUUCCGCAAGAUUUCUACAGUUCGGUUUACAUUGGACAGAAUCAAUUUCUGCCCUCGCAGUUCUUUUUCGUUUCUCUGUCCUUUUCCCAGUAACAGUUCCUUCAGCAAUACUUUUUGUUGGUCCUGUAUCAAUAUUACUCUGGUACUCAUCAAGUAAUACUGGAUUCUCAGUAGCCACACUUACUUCAGAGAGGUUUGCUGAUGACCCUGUGUCUGCUGUCCUUUGGCAGAAGAAUUCGUGUUCAUCUUUAUCUUUUGGCUUCUCAAUAGUUGCAUUUCUUUCAGCAAGUUUUUUCAUUGACCUUGUAACCAUUUUAGUUUGACGCACACUUUGGACUUCAUCUUUAAUCAGCUUGUCCACAAACACAUUUCCUUCAGUACUGUGCUUUAUUAAUUGAGUAUCUAUGUUAUUCUGGUCCAAGCUCCGGCCUUCAUCUUUAACUCUUGCCUUCUUACUCUUUCGGGUCUUAUUCUUUCUCCCGUUAGCUUUCUCACCACAGAGAAUUUCUGUUGAAAGUGUAUCCAUAUUCCAAUUUUUAUCAAGCAGUCAAAUUUGCCUCCUGAACAUUCUUUGUUGAGAUAUCAUAGGACACCUCGUAAUCUCGUUGCGCUCGUAUCAAUCAUAUCUACAAGAAAGCUUACUAAGUUUGGUUUUCGAGUCACAAUAAAACCUGAACCACAGUCACAAGAAACUAUAAUCAACCUACACGAGAAUACCAAAACUAAACUACGAAGAAGGUUAGAAGACAGACAAUGGAGCUCUAAACUUACCAGUAACCGUAAACCACUAUAUCGAUGAAACACGCAUUAUUUAUCCAGAUACAUACGUUUCUUGACAAUCAACAAUGGAUGCCAUAAGUAAUUCGUAGAAUCCAAUAACAAGGUCACAUAUGCUUGUCC
rnacentral:lncRNA from 1 species